AGCGAACGCUGGCGGCAGGCCUAACACAUGCAAGUCGAACGAACCCUUCGGGGUUAGUGGCGGACGGGUGAGUAACACGUGGGAACGUGCCUUUAGGUUCGGAAUAACUCAGGGAAACUUGUGCUAAUACCGAAUGUGCCCUUCGGGGGAAAGAUUUAUCGCCUUUAGAGCGGCCCGCGUCCGAUUAGCUAGUUGGUGAGGUAAUGGCUCACCAAGGCUACGAUCAGUAGCUGGUCUGAGAGGAUGACCAGCCACAUUGGGACUGAGACACGGCCCAAACUCCUACGGGAGGCAGCAGUGGGGAAUCGUGCGCAAUGGGCGAAAGCCUGACGCAGCCAUGCCGCGUGGAUGAUGAAGGUCUUAGGAUUGUAAAAUCCUUUCACCGGUGAAGAUAAUGACUGUAGCCGGAGAAGAAGCCCCGGCUAACUUCGUGCCAGCCGCCGCAGUAAUAC
rnacentral:rRNA from 1 species